GACGAACGCUGGCGGCGUGCUUAACACAUGCAAGUCGUACGGUAAGGCCCUUUCUGGGGUACACGAGUGGCGAACGGGUGAGUAACACGUCAGUAACCUGCCCACAACUUUGGGAUAACGCUAGGAAACUGGUGCUAAUACUGGAUAUGUGCUCCUGCUGCAUGGUGGGGGUUGGUAAGCUCCGGCGGUUGUGGUUGGACUCGCGGCCUAUCCGCUUGUUGGUGGGGUAGUGGCCUACCAAGGCGACGACGGGUAGCCGGCCUGAGAGGGUGACCGGCCACAUUGGGACUGAGAUACGGCCCAGGCACCUACGGGAGGCAGAAGUGGGGAAGAUUGAACAAUGGGCGCAAGCCUGAUGCAGAAACGCCGCGGGCGGGAUGACUGCCUUCGGGUUGUAAACCGAUUUCAGCAGGGACGAAGCUUUUUGUGACGGUACCUGCAGAAGAAGCACCGGCUAACUACGUG
rnacentral:rRNA from 1 species